rnacentral:rRNA from 1 species
ACGAACGCUGGCGGCGUGCCUAAUACAUGCAAGUCGAACGGCUUUUCUAUGGAAGCUUGCUUCCACUGAGAAGAUAGUGGCGAACGGGUGAGUAACACGUGGGUAACCCUGCCCAUAAGAGGGGGAUAACAUCCGGAAACGGGUGCUAAUACCGCAUAGUUUUCUUGAUCGCAUGAUCGGGAAAGGAAAGACGGCCUUUGUGCUGUCGCUUAUGGAUGGACCCGCGGCGUAUUAGUUAGUUGGUGAGGUAACGGCUCACCAAGACGAUGAUACGUAGCCGACCUGAGAGGGUGAUCGGCCACAUUGGGACUGAGACACGGCCCAAACUCCUACGGGAGGCAGCAGUAGGGAAUCUUCCGCAAUGGACGAAAGUCUGACGGAGCAACGCCGCGUGAGUGAAGAAGGUUUUCGGAAUCGUAAAACUCUGUUGUCAGAGAAGAACAAGUUGGAGAGUAACUGCUCCAGCCUUGACGGUAUCUGACCAGAAAGCCACGGCUAACUACGUGCCAGCAGCUGC